AUUCACCUAAUCGGUAGUGUACAUUUCUGAUUAUCAGGUACAAAUUGUUAAACAUGGUUGACGGGAGGGCGUCUUUACUGGUCUUAAUAUCGUUUGUAUUUUAUUUAGAUGGAGGCUCAAGUGACGACCGAUUUUCUUGGAAGGUUCCCCCAACCGUAAACACCGUAGUAAAAGAUAAAAGGGGGUCUUAUGAACUUAGUUUAACUGCUUUCAACCCAUUCGGGCAUAUGACCACGACUACUAUUCUACCGCCUAUCAGUAUGGGUUUCUUAAACAAUCAAGUUCAUUUCUUAGUUAAUUUAUGUAGUGAAAAGUUGGUUACAUUUGAUGCACUUUUAUUUCAAAAUUAUGUAAAAUAUUUAAAAAAUGCUCUUUAUACAUGUAUGUAAUAUAAUGUAAAAUUAAAAUUAAA